AUUGAACGCUGGCGGCAUGCUUUACACAUGCAAGUCGAACGGCAGCGCGGGCUUCGGCCUGGCGGCGAGUGGCGAACGGGUGAGUAAUACAUCGGAACGUGCCCAGUCGUGGGGGAUAGCUCGGCGAAAGCCGGAUUAAUACCGCAUACGACCUGAGGGUGAAAGCGGGGGAUCUUCGGACCUCGCGCUAUUGGAGCGGCCGAUGGCAGAUUAGCUAGUUGGUGGGGUAAAGGCCUACCAAGGCGACGAUCUGUAGCUGGUCUGAGAGGACGACCAGCCACACUGGAACUGAGACACGGCCCAGACUCCUACGGGAGGCAGCAGUGGGGAAUUUUGGACAAUGGGCGAAAGCCUGAUCCAGCAAUGCCGCGUGUGUGAUGAAGGCCUUCGGGUUGUAAAGCACUUUUGGCGGGAACGAAAAGGACUGUACCAAUACCACGAUUCGAUGACGGUACCCGCAGAAUAAGCACCGGCUAACUACGUG
rnacentral:rRNA from 1 species